rnacentral:lncRNA from 1 species
AGUUCUCUUAAUAAAAGAGUUCUUUCUUCCAACUACUAGUUUCCUUCGCCAAGUUUCUACAAGCUUAGUCUUUCUUAAGUUCUACUAAGUUUCCGGGUAGGCUGACUAGCUAACUUUGGCAUUGAAAGUUCGCUAGGCCGGACAGAUCGUCGUGUUUGAGUUACGGUCUCUUCACAUAAUGGUUUGGUUUGAUUGGUUAUUUUAUAAAAUUUAUAUUAAAUUAAUUUUUUAUUUAUUUUAUUAUGUUUAAUUAAAAUUAAAUUUUUAAAACUUGUAUCAAUCAUGUAGGUUUUUGUUCGAUAUUAAUACGGUUCGAUUAAUUUUUGAUAUUCUUUUAAAGGCCAUUUAAAAGUCACUAAUAAAAGCAUAAUACAAUAAAUAUAGACUUUUAAAAGACUUACCAAAACUCUCUAGACACUGUUACUAUUUAAAGGAUGAUGAAUUAAGAAAACACAAAAAAUGGUUAGGGUGUAGAUCUAUCAAGUAUAAAAGAAACUAAGCAAAGACAGAAAAUCACACGAGUGGAAAGAUAUUAAGCAAGCUGAGACUCAAGAAUAGAAUCUAUAGGAAAUUAAAUAUUCAAAAAUAUAAACUUAAAUCAUAUGAAAGGAAACAUGUUCAAUACAUUAUAGUUUGUUACUCAUAAUAGCUAGAAUACCUUGUGUCUUGCUAGUGAUUAUGCUAGAAAUAGUUUAGUUUCAAUCGGAAUAGGUUUGGCAAUUGGGAUUUUAAGUUUAAUUACUUAUUGCCUUGUAACUAUUUUCAUAAUUCCAAGGCCCAAGGAAAAAAACAGUGUUUUAUUUUUUUUAAACUUAAUAUAUAAAUAUAUUUUUUUCAUGUAAAUUUAUUCUGUAUGGUUCGAUAUUUUUUCGAUUUUAUUUUCAUAAAAUAAAAAACCUACCGUAAUUAUUGGUACGGUUA